CCUAUCAGUAUCCUGAGUAGGGCGGGACACGUGAAAUCCCGUUUGAAUCCGCGAGGACCAUCUCGCAAGGCUAAAUACUAACCAGUGACCGAUAGUGAACCAGUACCGUGAGGGAAAGGUGAAAAGAACCCCGGGAGGGGAGUGAAAGAGAACCUGAAACCGUGUGCCUACAAGUAGUCAGAGCCCGUUAACGGGUAAUGGCGUGCCUUUUGUAGAAUGAACCGGCGAGUUGCGUUAGUCAGCAAGGUUAAGUCAGAAAAGACGGAGCCGUAGCGAAAGCGAGUCUGAAGAGGGCGAGCAGUUGGCUGACGCAGACCCGAAACCAAGUGACCUACCCAUGACCAGGUUGAAGGCGCGGUAAAACGCGCUGGAGGACCGAACCCACGUAAGUUGAAAAUUGCGGGGAUGAGUUGUGGGUAGCGGUGAAAUUCCAAACGAACUUGGAGAUAGCUGGUUCUCUCCGAAAUAGCUUUAGGGCUAGCCUCGCAAAGAGGAUGCUGGAGGUAGAGCUCUGUUUGGACUAGGGGCCCGUCAAGGGUUACUGAAUUCAGAUAAACUGCGAAUUCCAGACAUUUAUGUGCGGGAGUCAGACUGCGAGUGAUAAGAUCCGUAGUCGAAAGGGAAACAGCCCAGAUCACCAGUUAAGGUCCCAAAAUUCAUGCUAAGUGGAAAAGGAUGUGGAGUUGCGCAGACAACUAGGACGUUGGCUCAGAAGCAGCCAUCAUUCAAAGAGUGCGUAAUAGCUCACUAGUCGAGUGACGCCGCGCCGAAAAUUUACCGGGGCUAAGCAUGAUACCGAAACUGUGGAUGUGC
rnacentral:rRNA from 1 species